rnacentral:lncRNA from 1 species
AAUAUACCAUAUAGAAUGGCGGAUGAUUUCCUCCAACUUAUUUUAUCACAUAAGAAAUUUAACGUAAAGUAAAAAGUUACCACCAGGGAUUGUCUGGAGUGAGGAGACAUGUGGGUGACAACUCCUGUUGGAGUAUAAAUAGGAAUCAUUCGCCAUUUGGGAGAAACCCUACCAUGAAGUCAUAGACCUUAUUUGACCACCUAGAGAAACCACUACAGCCACAGUCAAGUCAUCAUGGGAAUACGUCUUUUUGGGAACAAGCUAUGGGAGCGUUCCAGCUCAAUUUUCGUCUUGGCACCUGGGCCUACAGGAGUCAUGGGGUCGCACCAUCCUGGUGCAUCAUUUUCUAGGAUGUAACCGCAACCUCGUUUGGGAACAUUUAGUGAGGUGUUUUAGUAACUAUUGGUUUUUUUUAUAUUUCAGACUAUCUGUUAAAUACACUAUGUUUUUUUUCCAGAUUUAGGUUACCUCUGGUUUUUUUUUGACAUAUUUGUAUAUUAGAUUAUUUGGUUCCCAAACUUUGUAUCUACGGUAACUUCUUGUGCACAGGAAUAAGCCUAGAGAAAAUUAGGUUUUUAAUACUUUAUUAUUGCUUUGAUAUUGGUUUAUGUAAUUCGGGUAAAUUUAUUUUGUAAUAUUACUAGCUUGUUUCCCAAAUAUUUUACUGUUAUUCGCUUUAUUCCGUUUGUUCGGUUAAUUUAGGUCAUCGUCGGUAUUUAUCUCAACUUCAUUUCUACUUUAUUCAUUGUAUAUCUAACUUUGCUUAAUUCAUUUAGUAUUUUCCCUUAGUUAGGCUCAUGCCUAUUUACAUAUAUUUAUUUAUAUUACUUUUAAUAUUCAUCGGUUUUUCUUUAGUUGUACGUAGCAGGCGUACUAUAACCAUUUGGUAGAAGACUUAUGUAAUUUUGUACCCUAUAUGUUAGUGAAAGGUAUUUAUACCUGUAAUUUUGUAACAGGUAACAUUGUUGUUAUCUUAGGUUGAACAUAACUUUUGCAAACUUUUGUCAUGUUAGAGUCACAUAAUAUGAACUUGUUUAACUCAGAGAUUGUUAAAAAUCUGGUAGUUCAUUUUAAUAAAUGUUUAUUUAUUUUGUA